GGAGAGAUGGCUUAGUGGUUAAGAGCACUGGCUGCUCUUUCAGCAGACCUGGGUUCAAUUCCCAGCAUCCA
rnacentral:tRNA from 1 species